AUAUUCCUCUUUCAGUCAUUCCUUCUCCAACAAUCAACACCUCAUACCUCAUAUGUUCAUGGGGCACCAACAUCCAACCAAACUCCAGAAAAUUCGCCCCCACAAGACUCAUUGCCAUUGUUACCUUUUUAUAAUUUUAGGUUAAUCUAUUUAACUUCCCAUAUGUGAAAAUUACAUAUAGGAUAACCAUACAUUCUUAGGUGGUGGAAAGACUAUCCACACACCAACCAAGUUAACCUUUGGCUAAUAAAGUAGCGGAAGUUAACAAGUCAAAAGAGACAACGAAGUGGCGCGAAGCAAAUACCAUAGCAACUGUUGUGGUUCUCACUUCCUUCACGUUAACAACUAUUACAAUCACAAUCAAAAUCCCAAACUAACUUUCAAUUCAACCCACAAAUAUCACCUCUCUCUCAAAACUCUUCUCCCACCGCUUCAUCCGUUCCAUUUUCAUGGCUUCCUUGUCUUUCACUCCUCACCCACUCGCCUUCGUCGCUUCUAACAGACUCCGGUUCGGCACCGGUUCGGAGUUCCAGUUCGUUAGGCUUCAGAAGAAUAAAAAACCCCGUUUCCCUGUCUGUAGAGCUGGUUCUUCUUUAGCCUUUCGUCACCUCGAUGCUGAUGAUUUUCGUCAUCCUCUUGAUAAACAGAAUACGCAGAUGCUGAGAGCGAUUCCGGGAUUGAAUCAACUGGGAAAAGCUCUUCUAGGAACUGUAACUGAGCAGGUUAUGUUCCUUGAGAAUAUAGGGACAUCUGUCCUUGUCUCCAAAAAUCAGCUUUCUGAUCUUCACAACUUAAUGGCGGAAGCUGCUGAAAUAUUAAAUGUCAGUGCCCCUGAUCUAUAUGUUCGUCAAAGUCCUGUGCCAAAUGCAUAUACAUUAGCUAUAAGUGGUAAACAACCGUUCGUUGUUAUUCACACUAGUCUAGUGGAGCUUCUGACAAGAGCGGAGUUGCAGGCUGUUUUGGCUCACGAGUUGGGUCACCUGAAAUGUGAUCAUGGCGUGUGGCUUACAUAUGCAAAUAUUCUAACCCUUGGAGCCUAUACUGUACCUGGCAUUGGAGGUAUUAUAGCUCAGACACUGGAAGAGCAGAUAUUCCGCUGGCUUCGAGCAGCUGAGUUAACUUGUGACCGUGCAGCUCUUCUCGUUGCUCAAGACCCUAAAGUUGUCAUCUCUGUGCUCAUGAAAUUAGCCGGUGGAUGCCCAUCUUUGGCUGAUCAACUAAAUGUUGAUGCGUUCCUGGAGCAAGCUCGAUCUUAUGAAAAAGCUGCUUCCAGCCCUGUUGGAUGGUACAUAAGGAAUGCUCAAACAAGGCAACUUUCACAUCCUCUGCCUGUUCUACGGGCUAAUGAAAUUGAUGAGUGGUCAAGAAGUUCAGCUUACAGAUCUCUUUUGAAACGUGGAAUACCUAUCAGAUCACAACAACAAAAAUUGUAGCUGUGCACACAUUGUUCAAAAUGCACUAUAGCUCAAGGCUGUUCAUGUUAAUGCGGGACCAAUCACAUACACUUAAGCUCCAACAAAAACAAAGUUAAUAACAUCCCAUUGAUAUCAGUAGCAGUUAUAUUACAGUUUCCUACUUGCCUCUGUGCUUGGUUCAGGAAGUACUUAAGAAGUCAUGCAUCAAUGGUGAAAGGUUCUGCAAAACAAUAAAGUUUAACUUAUUUUGGAUCUACAGCUGCUGCAAAACUAUCACCUCAUACUAAUACCUCAGAUCAGUAAAUCGAUACAUGUAUAUUCAUUUUGAUUGUUACUAUAUUGGUCAAGCUGUAAGUAGAAUUUUGAUUAUAAGAGGGAUUGUGUUUUUACUAGAAACACUGCCCUUUGAAAACAAAUAAUUACUUGUAUAUUAUCAGACAAGUUAGAAACUCUUAUGUAAAUUCCAUGAUUAAAAGAUUUAAGUGCUGUACCCUGUAUAAACAUUGUAUGAAUAAGUAAUUGAUAUGAUCUAUUAGAAUUUGAUAUAAACUUAACAAAA